AUUAUACUCCCUCCCUCCGAAAAUACUACUUGUCAGGGAAAUGGAUAAAAUUGAAUGUAUCUAAAACAAAAAUAUGUGUAGAUACAUCCAUUUCUCCAACAAGUAUUUUCGGGACGGAGGAAGUAUAUA
rfam:Triticum aestivum genome assembly, contig: Triticum_aestivum_CS42_TGACv1_scaffold_322548_4BL